GAUGAACGCUAGCGGCAGGCUUAAUACAUGCAAGGCGAGGGGGCAGCAAUGUCACCGUCGUACGGGUGCGUAACGCGUAUGCAACCUACCUUCAACUGGGGGAUAGCCCGGGGAAACCCGGAUUAAUACCGCAUAACACAUUUAUAUCACCUGAUAUUUAUUGUUAAAGAUUUAUUGGUAAGAGAUGGGCAUGCGUUCGA
rnacentral:rRNA from 1 species